GACGAACGCUGGCGGCGUGCUUAACACAUGCAAGUCGAACGGAAAGGCCCUGCUUUUGUGGGGUUCUCGAGUGGCGAACGGGUGAGUAACACGUGAGUAACCUGCCCUUGACUUUGGGAUAACUUCAGGAAACUGUGGCUAAUACCGGAUAGGAGCUCCUGCUGCAUGGUGGGGGUUGGAAUGUUUCGGCGGUUGGGGAUGGACUCGCGGCUUAUCAGCUUGUUGGUGGGUUAGGGGCUUACCAAGGCUUUGACGGGUAGCCGGCCUGGGAGGGUGACCGGCCACAUUGGGACGGAGAUACGGCCCAGCCUCCUACGGGAGGCAGCAGUGGGGAAUAUUGCACAAUGGGCGGAAGCCGGAUGCAGCAACGCCGCGUGCGGGAUGACGGCCUUCGGGUUGUAAACCGCUUUCGCCUGUGACGAAGCGUGAGUGACGGUAAUGGGUAAAGAAGCACCGGCUAACUACGUG
rnacentral:rRNA from 1 species